AGAGCAACACAGUGCACAGGGACAAUGACUUUAAUCACCAUCUUCAUCUGGACGCUCACCCUCUGCAUCCAAGAAUCCAGUGGCCAGAUCACUGUGACACAGGCACCUGCAGUAAAUGCUGUUACUGUUGGAGAAACUGUGACCAUGAGCUGUAAAACCAGCAGUCUUAUAUCAGGAUGCAGCAAUUGUGUGUCAUGGUACCAUCAGAGGACUGGAGAGCCGCCUAAACUCCUCAUCUAUAGAAUAAGCAGCCGUCAGUCUGGAACACCACAACGGUUCACUGGCAGUGGAUCUGACUAUGGGUCUGACUUCACUCUGACCAUCAGUGGAGUCCAGGCUGAAGAUGCAGGAGAUUAUUACUGUCAGAGUGCUCACUACAUUAGUAAUAGCUGGGUGUGGACUUUCGGCGGCGGGACCAGACUGGAUGUUGGUAGUAACAGAGCCCCCACCCUGACGGUCCUGCCCCCCUCCAGUGUGGAGGUGUCCAGCAAGAACUCGGCCACCCUGAUGUGCCUGGCCAACAAGGGCUUCCCCUCCGACUGGAAGCUGAGCUGGAAGGUGGACGGAAACAGCAAAUACUCAGAGACGAGCCGCGGGCUCCUGGAGAAGGACGGCCUGUACAGCUGGAGCAGCAGCCUGAGCCUCACUGCGGACGAGUGGAAGAAGGCGGGCUCAGUGGUCUGUGAGGCCCAUCAGGGCUGCCAGGCUCCUGUCACUCAAAUGCUGAGGGGGGGCGACUGUUCAGAGUAGAUGAGCUCAGCGUCACCUGUGAUGAGCGGCUGAUUACUGUGUUUUUACUGUGCUGUGCUACACGCUUCAGAUUUACUGAUUUCAUAGAGAAAAUAACGUGCUUUGUUUGAUCCAUGAGUGAAAAUCAUUACUAAUGUUUUAUAGGCUUUUGUGUCUCCUUGUAUUAUCUUGUGUGUUUUAUUCCUGAAUGCUGCAGAAAUAAAUAAAUAUUUCAUUCUCUCUGACAAA